rnacentral:tRNA from 1 species
GCCGCUAUGGCGCAGUGGUAACGCGUCGCACUUGUAAUGCGAAGAUCCCUAGUUCAAUUCUGGGUGGCGGCA